UACGGAGGGUGCGAGCGUUGUCCGGAAUCACUGGGCGUAAAGGGCGCGUAGGCGGCUGGGGAAGUCGGCGGUGAAAGCCCGGGAGCUCAACUCCGGGUCGGCCGUCGAGACUCCUCGGCUCGAGCUCACUAGAGGCAGAUGGAAUUCCGGGUGUAGCGGUGGAAUGCGUAGAGAUCGGAAAGAACACCAACGGCGAAAGCACUCUGCUGGGCCGACACUGACACUGAGAGACGAAAGCUAGGGGAGCGAAUGGG
rnacentral:rRNA from 1 species